GACGAACCGUGCGAACGUUGUUCGGAAUCACUGGGCUUAAAGGGCGCGUAGCGGGCGGCCAAGUCGGAGGUGAAAGCCUGCAGCUCAAUUGCAGAAGUGCCCCCGAUACUGGUUGUCUCGAGGGAGGUAGGGGCAUGUGGAACUUCCGGUGGAGCGGUGAAAUUCGUAGAUAUCGGGAGGAACACCGGUGGCGAAGGCGGCGACCUGGGGUAGAUACUGACGCUGAGGUGCGAAAGCGUGGGGAGCAAACAGGG
rnacentral:rRNA from 1 species